GCAGUUACACCUUCAUCCCCUACACGGUGACGGCCCACGGAGAGGUGCUGUGCUGCGAGAGCAGCCCUGAGCAGCGCCCCACUGAGCAGCGCCCCACUGAGCAGCGCCCCACUGAGCUCCCCCCGCCCGGCUGCGACACGGAGCCCUUCACCCCACUGACGGCGCGGCUCGUGCGGCUGCUGGAGGGCGUCCCCACCAACUCCUGCGGAUAUUUCAGGGAGACCCUCCGACGUGACAUCCGCCGGGCGCGGGAGCUGUUCCGGGGCGAGCAGCUGAGCCGGGAGCUGAGGCUCAUCCAGCAGCGCCUGGACAGCGUGGAGCUGCUCAGCCUGGACAUCGUGGUCAGCCUGCUGCUGUCCUACCGCGACGCGCAGG
rnacentral:lncRNA from 1 species